ACUCCUACGGGAGGCAGCAGUGGGGAAUAUUGCACAAUGGGCGCAAGCCUGAUGCAGCAACGCCGCGUGAGUGAUGAAGGCCUUCGGGUCGUAAAGCUCUGUCCUCAAGGAAGAAUAAAUGACGGUACUUGAGGAGGAAGCCCCGGCUAACUACGUGCCAGCAGCCGCGGUAAUACGUAGGGGCAAGCGUUAUCCGGAAUCACUGGGCGUAAAGGGUGCGUAGGCGGUUUUUCAAGUCAGAAGUGAAAGGCUAUGGCUCAACCAUAGUAAGCUUUUGAAACUGUUAAACUUGAGUGCAGGAGAGGAAAGUGGAAUUCCUAGUGUAGAGGUGAAAUUCGUAGAUAUUAGGAGGAACACCAGUGGCGAAGGCGACUUUCUGGACUGUAACUGACGCUGAGGCACGAAAGCGUGGGGAGCGAACAGGAUUAGAUACCCUGGUAGCACAGAG
rnacentral:rRNA from 1 species